GACGAACGCUGGCGGCGUGCUUAACACAUGCAAGUCGAACGAGGCCCCUCCUUCGGGAGGGUGUCCUAGUGGCGAACGGGUGAGUAACACGUGGGCAACCUGCCCCCGGCUCUGGGAUAACCCCAAGAAAUUGGGGCUAAUACCGGAUAUGACCGCUGACCGCAUGGUCGGUGGUGGAAAGUUUUUUCGGCUGGGGAUGGGCCCGCGGCCUAUCAGCUUGUUGGUGGGGUAGUGGCCUACCAAGGCGACGACGGGUAGCCGGCCUGAGAGGGUGACCGGCCACACUGGGACUGAGACACGGCCCAGACUCCUACGGGAGGCAGCAGUGGGGAAUAUUGCGCAAUGGGCGGAAGCCUGACGCAGCGACGCCGCGUGGGGGAUGACGGCCUUCGGGUUGUAAACCUCUUUCAGCAGGGACGAAGCGAAAGUGACGGUACCUGCAGAAGAAGCACCGGCCAACUACGUGCCAGCAGCCGCCGUAAAAC
rnacentral:rRNA from 1 species